UACUAGAGUAGCACUCGCAUAUCAAUAAGCGGAGGAAAAGAAACUAACAAGGAUUCCCCUAGUAACGGCGAGUGAAGCGGGAAGAGCUCAAAUUUGAAAUCUUAAAGGGUUUCCCUUUACGAAUUGUAGUUUAAAGAAGUGUUUUCUGUUGAGGUUUUGGUAAAAGUUCUUUGGAAUAGGACAUCAUAGAGGGUGAGAAUCCCGUAUUUGACCUUUACUUUCAACUUUGUGAUACACUUUCAAAGAGUCGGAUUGUUUGGGAAUGCAGUCCAAAAUGGGUGGUAAAUUUCAUCUAAAGCUAAAUAUUGGCGAGAGACCGAUAGCGAACAAGUACCGUGAGGGAAAGAUGAAAAGAACUUAGAAAAGAGAGUUAAACAGUACGUGAAAUUGUCAAAAGGGAAGCGUUUGACACCAGUGUUGUUUUUCUGAAAAUCAAUUAAAGAACUGUUUAUGCUAAGUUGUUUAGACUUUAUCAGCUAUCUGUUUAGUUUUGAGCUUUUCUUUAAUGCACUUUUCAGUUAACAAGUCAACAUCAAUUUCUUUUGCUGUAAAAAAGCUUGAGGAAGGUGGCUUGAGAUUCGUCUUAAGUGUUUAUAGCCUCUUGCCUAUGCAGUCGGAGAGAUUGAGGUCUGCAGCGUAGAUCCUUCGGGGCUAAAUGCAUUUGUGCUAAGUUAUAGCAUUUUAUAGACAACUUGUUGACUACGAUUUGUCUUGUAGCUUACUCGCUUAUGUUAUUUUACCUACGCUUAGGAUGUUGAACUACUGAGACAUAGA
rnacentral:rRNA from 1 species